UCGCUCUCCGUGUUCACCACUUGCUUUUAUGUCCAAUGAUCAUAAGGCACGCGGUGAAUGCCAAGAGGGGA